UUGAGUUCACUGGGAAUAGACAUUAAGAGAGAGACGUGUGAAAGAUCUAUUUAUUGGGGUUUGCUCUCAGGAAGAACACUUGAGUGAAAGAAGCUAGACUCUACACAGAGAGAAAGUGAACUGCAGUGAAGUUGCAGCAAAGGCCACUGCCUAUCCCACGGGAGCUCUGGAGCCCUCCCUCCAGUCUCUCACCAGUGCCCCAGAAGCCUGGGCAAUGCAGUCUGAAAGGGUCAAGGCAAAGCAGAGGAAAUGAGCACUCAGCACGAGGGCAAAUAGGACUGAGAGCAGUAUUGGAUGGUUGUAGCUUUGACAAAGCAGUAUUGGA